UACGUAGGGGGCUAGCGUUGUCCGGAAUCAUUGGGCGUAAAGCGCGUGUAGGCGGUUCGGUAAGUCCGCUGUGAAAGUCGGGGGCUCAACCCUCAGAUGCCGGUGGAUACUGUCGGGCUUGAGUACGGAAGAGGCGAGUGGAAUUCCUGGUGUAGCGGUGAAAUGCGCAGAUAUCAGGAGGAACACCAAUUGCGAAGGCAGCUCGCUGGGACGUUACUGACGCUGAGACGCGAAAGCGUGGGGAGCAAACAGG
rnacentral:rRNA from 1 species